rnacentral:tRNA from 1 species
GGGUCGUUAGCUCAGUCGGUAGAGCAGUGGACUUUUAAUCCAUUGGUCGAGAGUUCGAGUCUCUCACGACCCACCA